GGCAUGGUGGGCUCUGAGGAGGACUCUGGUACUUCUGGGGCUGCGGCGGUGCAGCUCUCUGGCAGUCGGAAAAUGUUCUGGCGCUCGGCUUCAUGGUCUGCAUCACGUUCCUCACUUCACCAUCCUGAAGUGAACAGAGAAGGUGGAGACCCCAAUGGGAAUCUUGGUGAUAGUAAUGGACCAAGCCGAAUUUUCCCUGCUCCAUUAAC
rnacentral:misc_RNA from 1 species